rnacentral:rRNA from 1 species
AACGCGAAGAACCUUACCUGGGCUCGAAAUGGAGUGGACCGGAGUAGAAAUAUUCCUUCCCCGCAAGGGGCUGCUCUAUAGGUGCUGCAUGGCUGUCGUCAGCUCGUGUCGUGAGAUGUUGGGUUAAGUCCCGCAACGAGCGCAACCCUUAUUACCAGUUGCCAUCAUUAAGUUGGGCACUCAGGUGAGACCGCCUCGGAUAACGGGGAGGAAGGCGGGGAUGACGUCAAGUCCUCAUGGCCUUUAUGUCCAGGGCUACACACGUGCUACAAUGGCCGGUACAAAGCGCUGCCAACCCGCGAGGGGGAGCUAAUCGCCAAAAACCGUCCUCAGUUCGGAUUGCAGGCUGCAACUCGCCUGCAUGAAGCUGGAAUCGCUAGUAAUGCUAUAUCAGAACGAUAAGCGUGAAUACGUUCCCGGGCCUUGUACACACCGGAGUA